rnacentral:rRNA from 1 species
CCUACGGGUGGCAGCAGUGAGGAAUAUUGGUCAAUGGGCUUACGCCUGAACCAGCCAAGUCGCGUGAGGGAAGACUGCCCUAUGGGUUGUAAACCUCUUUUGUCAGGGAGCAAUUGGCGCUACGUGUAGCGUUAUCGAGAGUACCUGAAGAAAAAGCAUCGGCUAACUCCGUGCCAGCAGCCGCGGUAAUACGGAGGAUGCGAGCGUUAUCCGGAUUGAUUGGGUUUAAAGGGUGCGUAGGCGGAAUGCCAAGUCAGCGGUAAAAUCGCGGGGCUCAACCCCGGCGAGCCGGUGAAACUGGCUGUCGUGAGAUGUCGAGAGGUAUGCGGAAUGCGCAGUGUAGCGGUGAAAUGCUUAGAUAUUGCGCAGAACUCCGAUUGCGAAGGCAGCAUACCGGCGGCGAUCUGACGCUGAGGCACGAAAGCGUGGGUAUCGAACAGGAUUAGAUACCCUAGUAGUC